AUUGAACGCUGGCGGCAUGCCUUACACAUGCAAGUCGAACGGCAGCACGGACUUCGGUCUGGUGGCGAGUGGCGAACGGGUGAGUAAUGUAUCGGAACGUACCUUUCAGUGGGGGAUAACGUAGCGAAAGUUACGCUAAUACCGCAUAUUCUGUGAGCAGGAAAGCAGGGGAUCGCAAGACCUUGCGCUGAUUGAGCGGCCGAUAUCAGAUUAGCUAGUUGGUGAGGUAAAGGCUCACCAAGGCGACGAUCUGUAGCGGGUCUGAGAGGAUGAUCCGCCACACUGGAACUGAGACACGGUCCAGACUCCUACGGGAGGCAGCAGUGGGGAAUUUUGGACAAUGGGGGCAACCCUGAUCCAGCCAUGCCGCGUGAGUGAAGAAGGCCUUCGGGUUGUAAAGCUCUUUCGGCCGGGAAGAAAUCGUAUGGGUUAAUACCCUGUGCGGAUGACGGUACCGGCAUAAGAAGCACCGGCUAACUACGUGCCAGCAGCCGCCGUAAAAC
rnacentral:rRNA from 1 species